UACGGGAGGCAGUAGUGGGGAAUAUUGCACAAUGGGCGCAAGCCUGAUGCAGCCAUGCCGCGUGUGUGAAGAAGGCCUUCGGGUUGUAAAGCACUUUUGUCCGGAAAGAAAAGCUUAGGGUUAAUAACCUUGAGUCAUGACGGUACCGGAAGAAUAAGCACCGGCUAACUUCGUGCCAGCAGCCGCGGUAAUACGAAGGGUGCAAGCGUUACUCGGAAUUACUGGGCGUAAAGCGUGCGUAGGUGGUUUUGUUAAGUCUGAUGUGAAAGCCCUGGGCUCAACCUGGGAAUGGCAUUGGAAACUGGCUUACUAGAGUGCGGUAGAGGGGUGUGGAAUUCCCGGUGUAGCAGUGAAAUGCGUAGAUAUCGGGAGGAACAUCUGUGGCGAAGGCGACACCCUGGGACCAGCACUGACACUGAGGCACGAAAGCGUGGGGAGCAAACAGGGAUUAGAUACC
rnacentral:rRNA from 1 species